rnacentral:lncRNA from 1 species
CAGAGCCCGCCAGCUGCUAAGCCAGGGCCACACCUGGGGGUGAUCUCAUGCCUCGCCUCCAGUAGGCUCCUUGGUCUCUUUGGGCUAAUGUCUGGCUCCCUUGUACUAACUCUUGUUCUCACCCAGCUAAUCCCUGCCUCUCCCUGGCUGCCCCAGGGGCUGAUCACUAACAGCCAACCCUGCCCAUCUAAGGAGGGGGUGUGUGUGCGCCCCCUCUGCCAGCUCCCGGGCCUGGCUUUGGCCAGCUGUCACUGACCUUCCCCUUCCCCUUGGACUAACUCCUGCCUUCCUGGUCUGUUCCUUUCAGCAGAAACCAAUGGCUGCAGAUGUCUUUCUGACUAACAACAGGUCUCACACGCCCCGGGACCAUGGCCAUUAACAGCUUGGAUGGCGGCAUGGCUGGG